CACGUAGGCACCAAGCGUUGUCCGGAUUUAUUGGGCGUAAAGAGCUCGUAGGCGGUUCGGUAAGUCGGGUGUGAAAACUUUGGGCUCAACCCAAAGCCUGCACUCGAUACUGCUGUGACUUGAGUCCGGUAGGGGAGUGGGGAAUUCCUGGUGUAGCGGUGGAAUGCGCAGAUAUCAGGAGGAACACCGGUGGCGAAGGCGCCACUCUGGGCCGGUACUGACGCUGAGGAGCGAAAGCGUGGGGAGCGAUCCGG
rnacentral:rRNA from 1 species